GACGAACGCUGGCGGCGUGCCUAAUACAUGCAAGUAGAACGCCGUUGCGAACGGGUGAGUAACGCGUAGGUAACUGCCUCAUAGCGGGGGAUAACUAUUGGAAACGUUAGCUAAUACCGCUUACUGUCAGAUGGACCUGCGUUGUAUUAGCUAGUUGGUGAGGGAAAGGCUCACCAAGGCGCCGAUCCAUAGCCGGCCUGCGAGGGAGAUCAGCAAAACUGGGACUGGGAAACGGGCCAGACUCCUGAGGGAGGCAACAGGAGGGAAUCAUCGGAAAUGGACGGAAGGCUGGAUGAGCAAAGACGGGGGAGUUAAGGAGGUUUUCGGAGCGGAAAGCUCUGUUGUUAGGGAAGCGGUAACUAACCAGAAAGCGACGGCUAACUACGUGCCAGCAGCCGCGGUAAUUC
rnacentral:rRNA from 1 species